AUCAGUAGAGGAAAGGGAACAGAUUGGUGUACUGAUGGUGGGUUUUGACACAUAAACACACACCUACACUCUCUCUCUCUCUCUCUCUCUCUCUCUCUCUCUCUCUCUCUCUCUCUCUACUCCUUUUGGUGGUGUUUAGUUUCUGAUCUCUUUUUUGCUCUCUGACAGGAAGGUGAAAAAGAUCAUCAUUACCCCUUGAUUGCAGGAUCUUCUCUCUCCUUUCUCUCAUGCUUUCGUUUUCUGCUGCUAUUUUCAUGCCCCUUUUUUUUUUGUUAUUUUUUUGAGUAAUUUUUAUUCCUGAGCCCUGAUUAUUUCUUACCAAACAUUCUUUAUGAUAUCCUUCUAAGUGAUCAAAAUGUUAGUUUCUUCUUUCCUAAAUCUUCAUCAUGCAAUAGGUAAUCAAAUGAAAGAAAACAUAUCUCGAGGCCAUGAAAAAGCUGGUUAUAAUCCAGCAGUUAUCAAACUACCAUUUUUACUCCCCCUUAGUUUUUUAGGUUAUUCUACGAGUUAAAAAUCUAUUGUAGUAGUAGAUCCACUGGUAUAUUGAGUUUUCUGCAGUGAGUAGUCAAUUCCACCUUGAAGAAACAACUAACAGUACUAUCCUGGCUUUGCUUCAUCAGUUUGCUUUGCCGUGUGUUAGUUUCCUUCUCAUGUGAUGCAACAUAUAUUUUUUUUUGAAGGAAUGAAUAGAGGAGGAGGUCAUUCAACAUCACUUUUUACAGGCUUUUUGAUAGUCUACCUUGAUGAUAUAUAUCUACUUCUUUGAAGUGUGUGUGGUUGCAUCAUGUAUCAACUUUCGAAAUUCAGCAUAUUCCAUAUAUAGAGAGAGAGAGAGAACACAUCCCGCAUCUAUAUUAUGGAUGUGCAAUGUAACACUCUUGAGGGAAACAAUACCAUCCACAAAGUCCAGGCCUAACAUAUAGACAAGCUUUGUUGAUUAGUGAUUUUGAUUUUGUUAAUCUGAGAGAAGAACAUGCAGUUUAUUAAUUUCCAUAAAAUCACAGUGUAAGUUUUUCCCCCCCUUUUCCUUUGAAGGGUGUAAAUUAAAGUUAUAUAUCUAAAGCUAAAUGUAUAUAUACUGUGGUACUGUGGUCUGUGGUUAUGAUUUUCUUAGAUGGCUUAAGCUAUAACUUGGUUGUUUUGCUCUAUUAAAUUUGAAUGCCUUUGUAUAUUUCUUUUCUUUUA